rnacentral:lncRNA from 1 species
UAAAGUUAUUAAAAAUAAAAUAAUCCCAGAAAAAUAAUUAAAAUGGCCUUAUUACAACCCAAAACCAAACAAUAAUAUUAAUAAGAUAAAACUUAUAAAGAAAUAAAUCGGCUACUAAUUGCAAUUAAAAGAAACAAAAACAGUAGUGUGGCCAUCUCCGAGUCCCUCGCAGCUCCAAACCAUCUAAGCUUAGGGAUUACCUGCACAGUUAGAAACGGGGUGAGUUUACGAAAACUCAAUGUGUAAUCCCAAUAACAAACAAACAGUGAAAACACAGUAUCAGUACAAUCUGGGUCAAAGCCCUAUUUAGUCUUGACAUAUACUGGGCUGAAGCCUUUCGUUUAACGAUUACUGCGCCGAAGCCUUUUCAUAAAUCAUAUCACUGGGCCAAAGCCUUUUCAUAAAUCAUUUCACUGGGCCGAAGCCUUUACUAUAAACGGUAUGGCCCAUAGGCGAAUUUCAAUAUCACAUGUAAUGUCAAUGGAUGUAUGCAAGCCCAUUUCAAUAUCACGUGAAAUACCAAUGAAUGUAUGCAAGCCCAUUUGGGGAGACUACUCAACCCACCAUUCGCUACUCUCCACUCGUACCAACCAACACACCAUGUGGGGAAUAACUCAACCCACCCAACCAACAUACCACUGGUAGCAUAGCUGCUUUAUCAUAUAUCUGGAGGCCUAGCCUCUUUAAUAACUGGGGCAAAGCCCUUUUCGGUAAACUGGGGCAUAAGCCCUUUUCAAUAAACUGGGGCAUAAACCCUUUUCGGUAAACUGGGGCAUAAGCCCUUUUCGGUAAACUGGGGCAUAAGCCCUUUUGCACUUCCUCCAUCCAUAUAAAAACCCAACCCAAUGCAACAUGUCAUGUAUGCAGAAUGUCAUGCCCAUAUUUGAAUUAAACAAUCACAGUCAAGUCAUUCAUAUCACCAACAUAUAUUCACAAUCAAAUCCGUCAACCACACAGUCCAAGUCAGUCACUUGCCCACAAGGGCACAACAGUCAUUUUUCACAUUAUAAGGGUAUUGUCGUAAUUUUACCAACUAUCAGGGUUUUUCAUGUUCAUUACAAUUAUCAAUAUUUCCGAGUGUUUAAACAAUGAUAUUUAACCCACUUUAUCAAAUUCGGGCUUUUGGGCCCAAAACCCGUAAUAGGCCCUACGAAUGCUGAUUUAGCCUACUGAACCCAAGAUUUCUCCAACACUUCUCAAAGCCAUUAACCACUAAAGCAAACAUUUAAUUGUUUCAUUUCAUUGCACAAUUAAAUACCUAUAUACAACCUCCUUACGGACCCCCACUCAAGGCCCAAUACUUCUAAGCCCAAAUUUGGGGUGUUACAAUUCUACCCCCUUAAAGAAAUUUCGUCCUCAAAAUUUUCCACUCUCAGACUACACCACCACAUUUCCGCUGCGCACUCUGAUACUAAUAAUACUAACAUACACCCAAAACAUUUAUCCAUCGGAGUGGAUAGAUUUCACAUGCAAAUAAUUUCUACAUUUCCAGAACACACACCAAAUAAAUACUAAAUCUAAAUUCAAGCGUUACAGUUUACUCUUAACUAGUGAGAUUCAGUAUAGUGCUACUAUCUAUAGUGGUUUCUCAAUAUAGCAUUUUAAUCUAUAAUAGUAAACAGAGUUAGAGAACUUACAGAUUUGGUGCCGGAGACUCGAUGUGCCACACCUCCAGUAAUAUUUUUUCAGAAACAAGUCAAGUUUCGUUGAGAGAUUUCAAAACAAAAUUUUAGAAAAACCCUUUUCCAACCCCAAUUUCGGAAAAAGAAAAAAAAAUAACAAUAAUUUUCUGCUACCCAUACCACAGUCGAGUUUUCCAACCUGGCUCUGAUACCAUUAAAUGUAACACCCCAAACCUGGCCCAGACAUGAUGGCCGAAUCUGAUGUGCCACAUUGAAGUUAAAAACCCACGUUUCGUUUUAGUGCUUUAAAAAUUGACUUUUGUUAAGCUAACAGAGUGAAUGGGAGCUGGGCACCAGGUAGGAAUCCGUAACAGAAGAGGUGAGCCAUGAAGGCUGCUUAAGUACCAAACUCUUCUAAUGGAUCCAAUCCUAGACAUGCCCACAACCGUUGCCACACUUGGUUAAAUCGAGUUGUAAUUUAUUUAAGUUGAAAUCUUUGAUAAAUCGGAUAAUCGUGGCAUGGUGUUAUUUUGAAAACAAUUAUCAUUUUGAAAACACGUCCUAAGUCUAGCCCAUUUAUUAACAAACAGAUUAAAGUUAUUAAAAAUAAAAUAAUCCCAGAAAAAUAAUUAAAAUGGCCUUAUUACAACCCAAAAUCAAACAAUAAUAUUAAUAAGAUAAAACUUAUAAAGAAAUAAAUCGGCUACUUAUUGCAAUUAAAAGAAACAGAAACAGUAGUGUGGCCAUAUCACUGGGCCAAAGCCUUUUCAUAAAUCAUAUCAUUGGGCCAAAGCCUUUUCAUAAAUCAUUUCACUGGGCCGAAGCCUUUACUGUAAACGGUAUGGCCCAUAGGCCAAUUUCAAUAUCACAUGUAAUGUCAAUGGAUGUAUGCAAGCCCAUUUCAAUAUCACGUGAAAUACCAAUGAAUGUAUGCAAGCCCAUUUGGGGAGACUACUCAACCCACCAUCCGCUACUCUCUACCCGUACCAACCAACACACCAUGUGGGGAAUAACUCAACCCACCCAACGAACACACCACUGGCAGCAUAGCUGCUUUAUCAUAUAUCUGGAGGCUUAGCCUCUUUAAUAACUGGGGCAAAGCCCUUUUCGGUAAACUGGGGCAUAAGCCCUUUUCAAUAAACUGGGGCAUAAGCCCUUUUCGGUAAACUGGGGCAUAAGCCCUUUUGCACUUCCUCCAUCCAUAUAAAAACCCAACCCAAUGCAACAUGUCAUGUAUGCAGAAUGUCAUGCCCAUAUUUGAAUUAAACAAUCACAGUCAAGUCAUUCAUAUCACCAACAUAUAUUCACAAUCAAAUCCGUCAACCACACAGUCCAAGUCAGUCACUUGCCCACAAGGGCACAACAGUCAUUUUUCACAUUAUAAGGGUAUUGUCGUAAUUUUACCAAAUAUCAGGGUUUUUCAUGUUCAUUACAAUUAUCAAUAUUUCCGAGUGUUUAAACAAUGAUCUUUAACCCACUUUAUCAAAUUCGGGCUUUUAGGCCCAAAACCCCUAAUGGGGCCCUAUGAAUGCUGAUUUAGCAUACUUAACCCAAAUUUUACAACAAUACUAACCGUGUUAACGUGCAACUUUUCCAAAUUCCAUUUUCUAUCAAUUCUACCCAAAUCGUGCACAAAAUUGAGUUCUUACCUGUUCCAUCGAUCCAAAAACCGAUCUUAUCGUAUUUAUCGUAUCUAUACCCAAACGCAACAUUACAAGUUUCUGAAAUACCGGUAUUUUAGCAUUUCAGCUUUUCAGCAAAUAUUAAUCUAAGCUAUUACGAGGGUUAGUACACACCUGUUACGGGUUGAAGUUGAAACGUUUCCAAAAUCAAUCGCCUACGAUAACCACCACCUGUCACUCAAACUUAACUAAUCCAAUAUCAAUAUAUGUAAAUCCUAUGCACAUCUGUCAUACGAAACAUAAGGGCAUAUUCGUCAUUUUACCAUACAGGGGUAUUACAGUCACUUUACCCUACAGGGGCUUUACGGUCAGUUUACCCUACAGGGGCUUUACGAUCUUUUUACCUAAUAGGGGUAUUUUAGUCAUUUCAUCCUACAAGGGUGUUUUGGUAAAUCUACAAACCAAUGGUAUUUCAGUAAUUUUGUAAAUCAAUGGUAUUUCUAUAAUUUUUAGAAAGUCAAGGGUAUUUUUGUAACUUUGUAAAUAAGGGGUAUUUUGGUAAUUUUACAAAUUGAGGGUAUUUUGGUAAUUUCACAAACCAAGGGUAUUUUGGUAAUUUUACAAACUAGGGGUAUUUUGGUAAUUUUACAAACUAAGGGUAUUUUAGUAAUUUUGUAAAUCGAGGGUAAAAUAGUAAUUCUGUAAAUCAAGGGUAAAACAGUAAUUCUAUAAAUCGAGGGUAAAACGGUAAUUCUAUAAAUCGAGGGUAAAACGGUAAUUCUGUAAGUCAAGGGAAAAACAAUAAUUAUGUAAAUCGGGGGUAAAACGGUAAUUAUGUAAAUUGGGGGUAAAAUGGUAAUUCUGUAAACCGAGGGUAAAACGGUAAUUCUGUAAGUCGAGGGUAAAACGAUAAUUAUGUAAAUCAGGGGUAAAACGGUAAUUAUGUAAAUCGGGGGUAAAACGGUAAUUCUGUAAAUCGGGGGUACUUUGGUAAUUUUACAAGUCGAAUCAGUAAUUUUACAAAUCGAGGGUAUUUCAGUAUUUUUACAAACUAAGGGUAUUUCGGUAAUUUUAGUAAACUAAAGUAUUCUAAACAGGAAUAACAAUACGUAUGGGCCUAAAACCUAUUCUAAGCCCAAAUGGGCCCACACGCUCUUGUGGCCCUUUUAGCCCAAAUCUAGCCACAGAUAUGAGAUUCACUUAGCCUAGUCUAAUAUUUACUACACAAUCAAACAACUUAUCCAAUUAGGCCCGUAGGCCCAUUGGGCCCACUGGCCCCUUUCGGCCCGAAGUAGCCAUCCUAUAGCUAGAGUAGUGAGAAAUACACACCUGAUAGGAGACUGGAGUUAAUCCACGCUCCGAGCACUCUUAGCCGACGCCCAACCCAAACGAGCACGCCAUACAGCGAAAGGGAUCAG